GAAGUAGUAGGUUUGUUUAAUAAUAGUGUGAAGCUUAGAGUCUAUUUGUUUUGAUAUUCAAAAAAUCGAUCUAGUAGAAAACAGAUUUAGAAAUAUAUAUAUAUAGUCCGGCUGAGAUACUAUCGAUAGCACGGAGCAUUUGGUGCUAUUAAGUUUUCUGCCGUUAGAUUUACCUCUUUUAUCAUUUUCAUCCGUUCGGUUAUACUAUUAACCAAUCAUUCACUCAACCAUAAGGGGCACACAUCAUCCUAACCGCACAUCUUUUAAUCCAAAGACAGAAAACUUAAUAGCACCAAGUCAUUGGUGCUAUUAAUAGUAUUUCAGCCUAUAUAUAUAGAGAGAUCUGGGGUGCUUUUAGAAGCAUGCCAGCUGCUAUGCUUAUAAUUUUAUAGCCCUUGGAUGUUUUCGAGAUUUGUGAGAGGAAAAGGGUGAGAUUUCACGGAGGCAGUCCUAGACGGAGCGAAACGGAGGCUCCGUCUGUGACUCUCUUUUUUUCUUUUCUUUUUUUUUUUUUGACCCAUUUCAACCCUUCCCUAUCAUUUCUCUUUCUCCACUUCCCUUACCUAAGCUUUCCUCCUCCCUCUUCACCCACAUUGGUUGCCCCUCUCUCAAAUCUGCUUCGAGGACGGUGGGGCCGAGGCCGACAUACACUCCCAUUUUAUUUUUUAUCUCCACCUCCCUGACCUAUCUCAUUCUCCUCCUACUUUACCCACCUCAGCCGCUUUUCUUCUCAUACCCACGUCGACAACGAUGGAGCCUACGGCGAUCCGCCUCAUCCCUUCGCUCUCGACCUUCUAGCUGCUGCACUACCCGUUAAUCUUUCACCUAAGGCUCGGAUCCUUCGUUAUUCUCUG
rnacentral:lncRNA from 1 species